rnacentral:rRNA from 1 species
UACGUAGGGGGCAAGCGUUGUCCGGAAUCAUUGGGCGUAAAGAGCGUGUAGGCGGCCUGGUAAGUCCGCUGUGAAAGUCCAGGGCUCAACCCUGGAAUGCCGGUGGAAACUGUCAGGCUCGAGUCCGGAAGAGGCGAGUGGAAUUCCUGGUGUAGCGGUGAAAUGCGCAGAUAUCGGGAGGAACACCGGUGGCGAAGGCGGUUCUACUGGG